AAGUCGAGCGAAUCGAUGGGAGCUUGCUCCCUGAGAUUAGCGGCGGACGGGUGAGUAACACGUGGGCAACCUGCCUAUAAGACUGGGAUAACUUCGGGAAACCGGAGCUAAUACCGGAUACGUUCUUUUCUCGCAUGAGAGAAGAUGGAAAGACGGUUUACGCUGUCACUUAUAGAUGGGCCCGCGGCGCAUUAGCUAGUUGGUGAGGUAAUGGCUCACCAAGGCGACGAUGCGUAGCCGACCUGAGAGGGUGAUCGGCCACACUGGGACUGAGACACGGCCCAGACUCCUACGGGAGGCAGCAGUAGGGAAUCUUCCGCAAUGGACGAAAGUCUGACGGAGCAACGCCGCGUGAACGAAGAAGGCCUUCGGGUCGUAAAGUUCUGUUGUUAGGGAAGAACAAGUACCAGAGUAACUGCUGGUACCUUGACGGUACCUAACCAGAAAGCCACGGCUAACUACGUGCCAGCAGCCGCGG
rnacentral:rRNA from 2 species